rnacentral:rRNA from 1 species
UGCAGUCGAGCGAACAGAGAAGGAGCUUGCUCCUUUGACGUUAGCGGCGGACGGGUGAGUAACACGUGGGCAACCUACCUUAUAGUUUGGGAUAACUCCGGGAAACCGGGGCUAAUACCGAAUAAUCUGUUUCACCUCAUGGUGAAAUAUUGAAAGACGGUUUCGGCUGUCGCUAUAGGAUGGGCCCGCGGCGCAUUAGCUAGUUGGUGAGGUAACGGCUCACCAAGGCGACGAUGCGUAGCCGACCUGAGAGGGUGAUCGGCCACACUGGGACUGAGACACGGCCCAGACUCCUACGGGAGGCAGCAGUAGGGAAUCUUCCACAAUGGGCGAAAGCCUGAUGGAGCAACGCCGCGUGAGUGAAGAAGGAUUUCGGUUCGUAAAACUCUGUUGUAAGGGAAGAACAAGUACAGUAGUAACUGGCUGUACCUUGACGGUACCUUAUUAGAAAGCCACGGCUAACUACGUGCCAGCAGCCGCGGUAAUACGUAGGUGGCAAGCGUUGUCCGGAAUUAUUGGGCGUAAAGCGCGCGCAGGUGGUUUCUUAAGUCUGAUGUGAAAGCCCACGGCUCAACCGUGGAGGGUCAUUGGAAACUGGGAGACUUGAGUGCAGAAGAGGAUAGUGGAAUUCUAAGUGUAGCGGUGAAAUGCGUAGAGAUUUGGAGGAACACCA